UACGAAGGGGGCAAGCGUUGUUCGGAAUUACUGGGCGUAAAGGGCGCGUAGGCGGCCGAUCAAGUCAGGCGUGAAAUUCCCGGGCUCAACCUGGGGGCUGCGCUUGAUACUGAUUGGCUUGAAUGCGGGAGAGGAUAGUGGAAUUCCCAGUGUAGAGGUGAAAUUCGUAGAUAUUGGGAAGAGCACCGGUGGCGAAGGCGGCUAUCUGGCCCGUAAUUGACGCUGAGGCGCGAAAGCGUGGGGAGCAAACAGG
rnacentral:rRNA from 1 species